UUGCAAUUACCACAGCGUAAGCAAUGCACUUAUCUGGUGUCUAAAGCAAGAAUGAAGCCUCAUGACAUAUUUCUGUGCUUUCCAGUUUAUGCAACAGCACUGGUGUUUUUUGGUGUUCAGAAAGCUGCACAGUCAAGUCCUGCUGUUCGUCUGACUGCUAAUCCUCCAUGGCCAGAUGUGUUCCCAGGAAAUACAAUUACUCUCAACUGUCAGGUUAUUGAAUCUGAGGGAUGGACAUUUGUGUGGACCAGCCGCAGACAGGGUGGUCAAACACAACUUCCAGUCUCCAGU